rnacentral:tRNA from 1 species
GGGCCCAUAGCGUAGGUGGAUAACGCGCAGGCCUUCGGAGCCUGAGGUCCGGGGUUCGAGUCCCUGUGGGCCCGCCA